rnacentral:rRNA from 1 species
GACGAACGCUGGCGGCGUGCUUAACACAUGCAAGUCGAACGGAAAGGCCCUGCUUGCCGGGUGCUCGAGUGGCGAACGGGUGAGUAACACGUGUGUGAUCUGCCCCUUACUUUUGGAUAAGCCUUGGAAACUGGGUCUAAUACUGGAUAGAACCAUGCUGUAUGUGGUGUGGUGGAAAGAUUAGUUUCGGUAAGGGAUGAGCUCGCGGCCUAUCAGCUUGUUGGUGGGGUAUUGUCCUACCAAGGCGUCGACGGGUGGCCGGCCUGAGAGGGUGGACGGCAACAUUGGGACUGAGAGACUGCCCAGAAGCCUACGGGGGGCAGCAGUGGGGAAGAGUGCACAAUGGGGGCAAGCCUGAUGCAGCGACGCCGCGUGGGGGAUGACGGCCGUCGGGUUGUAAACUCCUUUCAGCCAUGACGAAGCCCUUGUGGUGACGGUAGUGGGAGAAGAAGCACCGGCUAACUACGUG